rnacentral:rRNA from 1 species
CCUACGGGCGGCUGCAGUGAGGAAUAUUGGUCAAUGGGCGCGAGCCUGAACCAGCCAAGUAGCGUGAAGGAUGACUGCCCUACGGGUUGUAAACUUCUUUUAUAAGGGAAUAAAGUGAGGCACGUGUGCCUUUUUGUAUGUACUUUAUGAAUAAGGAUCGGCUAACUCCGUGCCAGCAGCCGCGGUAAUACGGAGGAUCCGAGCAUUAUACGGAUUUAUUGGGUUUAAAGGGAGCGUAGAUGGGUUGUUAAGUCAGUUGGGAAAGUUUGCGGCUCAACCGUAACAUUGCACUUGAUACUGGCAGUCGUGAGUACAGGUGAGGUAGGCGGAAUUCGUGGUGUAGCGGUGAAAUGCUUAGAUAUCACGAAGAACGCCGAUUGCGAAGGCAGCUUACUAAACUGCCACUGACAUUGAGGCUCGAAAGUGUGGGUAUCAAACAGGAUUAGAUACCCCUGUAGUC